UAGCAGGGAGGGCCGGAGUUCUCCAGGAUCAGGUGCAGCUGCGCUGCCCACAGCACUCAGUCCGGCUCACAGUGCCGGGCUCAGCGUCUCAGCCACGGCCUGCUGCCACGGCAUCCUGAAGUGUCGGGCAGAGCCCUUUUGCAGAAGAAGCUCUUCCUCUACUGUGUCAGGGAAAGGCCUCUGCACCCUACAAGCAAGUGAAACUAGACUGAGCACAAAGGAACAGAAGAAAAAAAGUGGCUUUGUGUCUCUCAAUGUCGAGAAAGGAUCUUUCCUGGGUGUAAUGUCUCACAUCGAAGAAAAAGUGCGUAAGUUGGAAACCUAUGAAGAUCACAUUCAAGGGUGAGGAGAGAGAUCUUUCAGGUUUACAGGGACAUCAUGACCAGACCUACCUGGACAGAUGCAAGAACAAAAGAUUAUCACAAUCCCUCCAGGAACUUGCCAGCACCAAGUAUUCUGCAACAACCAGCCAUAUCCUCUCCCCUUUUAGUAUAAAAGAAGCCUGAAUUCUAACUCGGGUUGCAUCUAUGAAUCUCAUCCAGGUUCCACUGAUUCCUCUAAUCACCUUGGACCAUCAGAAAUUACACAUAGAGGGCAGAAGCUGUACUUCAUGUGUGACAGAGAAUAUGGGGGUCAUAGUCACUCCUACUCCAGCUUGCUAGAAUUCAGUCCCAGGAGAGGCAAGCCAAGAAGACCUGAGGUUAUCACCUGCUCCCAGUGUGUUGCUUGUAAAGGAAGACUGUAACUCUGGGAAAAGUAGGGCACUGUCUCAUGCCCAGCUCUGGAGUCACUACUCCAGAGAUUUUGCCUGGAGAAAAAGGUCCUGAAACAAAUGAAAAGGAAGCCCUAGAUAAUCAUCACGUGGAACCAACAUGUGAAGCCAGGAAGCUAUUAAAGGAACAAGUAUGGAGAGUAUAGAAAGCAUUGUCAAGAUGGUGAAGGAGGCAGAAGAAUAAUUCUAAUACAACAAGAAUGUACAAUAAGCAUGCGGUCUUGUUAUGUGUUUGUGUGCUAGGGUGUGCCUACGGGGCUCAGUGUUUUUGCCCGGCCCUUGGCCUGAUGCGGCAUAUAAUGGGUACUCAGUAAAGAUUUUUUUUUUUUUAAUGAAUUAGUGACUGUGACACAAUUUGGAAUUCUGGGCAUUUUUUUCUGGACUGUUCACAAAUUUUUUUGCCUUGAGUUACACAAAUACAAUAUAAGCCUAUGUAUUUUUAGGUCUUUCAAGUGAAAUUUUUAGCAUAAUCUAUUUAAAA